CUAAAGCAGGGGAUAAUAUGGUACCAAGUUCCAAGGAGUUCAACAAUACGAGAACAACACAUCAGAACAGGAGGGCGUGAUUCCAUUCUGUUGGAGACCAUGCUUACAAAUAAGCAAAUGAACAUGGAUUUGAAUGUCCAUAUUAACUAACUGAUAUCCUGAGACCAGAGAAGUUGACAUACAGGUUUGAUGUUUGAG
rnacentral:lncRNA from 1 species